CAGUCGCCGCGGUAAUACGUAGGGUGCGAGCGUUAAUCGGAAUUACUGGGCGUAAAGCGUGCGCAGGCGGUUAUGUAAGACAGUUGUGAAAUCCCCGGGCUCAACCUGGGAACUGCAUCUGUGACUGCAUAGCUAGAGUACGGUAGAGGGGGAUGGAAUUCCGCGUGUAGCAGUGAAAUGCGUAGAUAUGCGGAGGAACACCGAUGGCGAAGGCAAUCCCCUGGACCUGUACUGACGCUCAUGCACGAAAGCGUGGGGAGCAAACAGGAUUAGAUACCCGCGUAGUCCCUGUCUCUUAUAC
rnacentral:rRNA from 1 species